UAGACGCUGGCGGCGUGCCUAAUACAUGCAAGUCGAACGAGGUGUCUUUUGUAGCAAUACGAAAGUAUCCUAGUGGCGAACGGGUGAGUAACGCGUGGGUAAUCUACCUUGGAUUUGGGAUAACUUCGCGAAAGCGGAGCUAAUACCGGAUAGUCUGGCUUUAAUUAAGAAGUCGGUAAAGGAUGCCUCUGCAUAUGCAUUCGUCCGAGGAUGAGCCCGCGUCUCAUUAGCUAGUUGGUAGGGUAAUGGCCUACCAAGGCAACGAUGAGUAGCUGGUCUGAGAGGAUGAUCAGCCACACUGGAACUGAAACACGGUCCAGACUCCUACGGGAGGCAGCAGUGGGGAAUAUUGCGCAAUGGGCGAAAGCCUGACGCAGCAACGCCGUGUGAGGGAUGAAGGCUUUCGGGUCGUAAACCUCUGUCGGAAGGGAAGAACGGGCAUUGGUCUAAUAGGCCUUUGUUUUGACGGUACCUUUAGAGGAAGCACCGGCUAACUCCGUGCCAGCAGCCGCGGUAA
rnacentral:rRNA from 1 species